GGCGAACGUGCCUUGUCCGAGAAGUUUUCCGAUCUCGUAUUUUUGCAUCAGAAUAUUCCCUUUCUUCUCCAUUUCCUCUUUCAAUUUCUUCAGGAAUACAGGAGAGGUUAUAACUUAUAAGCCUUGCCUAAGGCAAGGUUGAAGAAAAAUCACUUGUGGGAGAAUUUCAGAAAAGGGAAAACAGAGCUUCCAAUUUUUCUGAAUCCCAACAAUAAAAGUAUUUGCUAAUUAUAGUAAAUUGUUGU